AACGCUAGCGGCAGGCUUAAUACAUGCAAGUCGUACGGGAUCCGAGAUAGCAAUAUCUUGGUGAGAGUGGCGCACGGGUGCGUAACACGUAUGCAACCUACCUUUAACCGGGACACAACCUUGAGAAAUUGAGGCUAAUAUCCCAUAACACUGCGAAGUGGCAUCACUAUGCAGUUAAAACUCCGGUGGAUAGAGAUGGGCACGCGCAAGAUUAGCUAGUUGGUGAGGUAACGGCUCACCAAGGCGAUGAUCUUUAGGGGGCCUGAGAGGGUGAUCCCCCACACUGGUACUGAGACACGGACCAGACUCCUACGGGAGGCAGCAGUGAGGAAUAUUGGUCAAUGGGUGCAAGCCUGAACCAGCCAUCCCGCGUGAAGGACGACUGCCCUAUGGGUUGUAAACUUCUUUUGUAUAGGGAUAAACCUACCCUCGUGAGGGUAGCUGAAGGUACUAUACGAAUAAGCACCGGCUAACUCCGUG
rnacentral:rRNA from 1 species